rnacentral:rRNA from 1 species
AGAACGAACGCUGGCGGCAGGCCUCAAACAUGCAAGUCUAGGGGGCGUAGCAAUACGUCACCGGCGGACGGGUGCGUAACACGUGGGAAUGUACUUACUGGUUCGGAACAACUCAGGGAAACUUGAGCUAAUACCGAAUGUGCCCGAAAGGGGAAAGAUUUAUCGCCAGUAAAUCAGCCCGCGUCCGAUUAGCUAGUUGGCGGGGUAAAGGCCCACCAAGGCGACGAUCGGUAGCUGUUCUGAGAGGAAGAUCAGCCACACUGGGACUGAGACACGGCCCCAGACUCCUACGGGAGGCAGCAGUUGGGAAUCUUGGACAAUGGGGAAACCCUGAUCCAGCCAUGCCGCGUGAGUGAUGAAGGCCUUCGGGUUGUAAAACUCUUUCGACGGGGACGAUAAUGACGGUACCCGUAGAAGAAGCUCCGGCUAACUUCGUGCCAGCAGCCGC